UUACCGUACACUCUCACUGAUUUCACUGUCACCCCUCUCCUUCCCCCUUUCUACCUCCCCCCUCUCUCUAGCUUCGAUAUCACAGUGCCCUCAGAACCUCUUUCCCGCUCUUACUUAGGGUUAGGGUUUCUGCAUUAUCAUGUGAAGCCCUAGAUUCUGUAAUUUCUCACUGUUUCGUAAGAUCAGUGUGACGAGAUCGAGGGCUUGGUGGCAGUGGUCCUGUCGGGAUGGGGAAUUGUUGUAGAUCUCCGGCUGCUGUUGCCAGGGAGGAUGUUAAGUCCGCCAACUUCUCCGGCCACGAUCACGGCAAGAGGGACUCCAACGCCGCCAAGAAGAAUCGGGUUACGGUUCUUACGGAUGUGCCCAAGGAGAACAUAGAGGAGAAGUACUUGGUGGAUCGGGAGCUUGGUCGAGGCGAGUUUGGUGUGACUUAUCUGUGUAUUGAGCGGGAAACUAGGGAGUUAUUGGCUUGCAAGAGCAUUUCCAAGCGGAAACUGAGGACUGCGGUGGACAUUGAGGAUGUCAGGCGUGAGGUGGCCAUUAUGAAGCACUUGCCCAAGAGUUCCAGCAUUGUGAGCUUGAAGGAAGCGUGUGAGGACGACAAUGCCGUGCAUUUGGUCAUGGAAUUGUGCGAGGGUGGUGAGCUGUUCGAUCGCAUCGUGGCACGUGGGCAUUAUACUGAGCGAGCUGCUGCUGCGGUCACAAGGACGAUUGUAGAAGUUGUACAACUUUGUCACAAGCAUGGGGUUAUUCAUAGGGACUUGAAGCCGGAGAAUUUUUUGUUCGCCAAUAAGAAAGAGAAUUCACCUUUGAAGGCUAUCGAUUUCGGCCUGUCUAUAUUCUUCAAGCCAGGUGAGAGAUUCUCAGAAAUUGUUGGAAGUCCAUAUUAUAUGGCUCCAGAGGUGCUCAAGCGGAACUAUGGGCCAGAAAUAGACAUCUGGAGUGCGGGAGUAAUUCUUUAUAUCUUGCUUUGUGGUGUUCCCCCAUUUUGGGCAGAAUCUGAGCAGGGGGUUGCACAGGCGAUUCUUCGAGGUCUUAUAGAUUUCAAGCGGGAACCUUGGCCCAGUAUUUCAGAGAGUGCCAAAAGUCUUGUUAGGCAAAUGUUAGAACCAGAUCCCAAGCUUCGAUUAACUGCCAAGCAGGUGCUCGAACAUCCUUGGCUUCAAAAUGCUAAGAAGGCUCCUAACAUUCCCCUUGGUGAUGUAGUCAAGUCCAGGCUUAAGCAGUUUUCGAUGAUGAACAGAUUCAAACGAAAAGCCCUGAGGGUCAUUGCUGAUUUCUUAUCCACUGAAGAAGUGGAGGACAUCAAAGAAAUGUUCAAGAAGAUGGACAGUGACAAUGAUGGCAUUGUUUCUGUUGAAGAUCUAAAAGCGGGUUUUCAAAAUUUUGGAUCUCAACUUGCUGAGUCUGAAGUUCAGAGUUUGAUUGAAGCUGUAAAUACUAAUGGGAAGGGAACACUUGACUACGGAGAAUUUGUUGCUGUUUCCCUGCAUUUAAAAAGGAUGGCUAAUGAUGAGCAUCUUCACAAAGCCUUCUCCUAUUUUGACAAAGAUGGAAAUGGCUAUAUUGAACCAGACGAGCUACGGGAUGCCUUGACGGAGGAUGGUGCAGAUGAUUGUACAGUUGUAGCAAAUGAUAUUUUCCAGGAAGUAGACACAGACAAGGAUGGCCGUAUCAGCUAUGAUGAAUUUGUAUCUAUGAUGAAAACUGGAACAGAUUGGAGGAAAGCCUCUAGGCAUUAUUCACGAGGGAGAUUCAACAGCUUGAGCUUGAAGUUGGUGAAAGAUGGUUCUGUAAACUUAGGGACUGAGUAGCGGUCUAGUGUGGGUGUGGCCCCUCUUUUUAAAUCUACCAUUACGAAGUAGUGUAAUAUUCCUCUUACAUUCUGGACCUGAUCUCUUUGUGAUUAUUAUUUGGUUCCCUUGUUAGAUGUUUGCCUAUUGACCAGGUGCUGUGCAAGUCAGGGAAGGAGCUGCAUGCACCUGCAUACGAGCCCUUGUUGCUUCCAUAAAACAAGCUGCCUUAGAGCCAUUGGUGUGUGACAUGUGCCAUUCAACAUGAUUAGGUGCAUUUGGGUUGGGCCAUAAUGCUUCAAUUAUUAGGCUCUGGCAUUGGGAGGUGGAAAUUUUUGGGCCCAUGGAAGUUUACAAAUACCGCAUAUCUGGAUUUUCUGCUAAAUGAUCUACGACAAUGCAUGUUGUCUUGCUGGAUCUUGAAUAUUGAUUAUUCAUUUUUUAUGUGAUUUGUGGGAUAUCUUGUGCAAUGGCCUCCCCUGAAAAAGAGAAGAAAACGAUAAUACUCAAGUUGUAGGUAUUUUGUAUUGUAUAGCAUUAAGGAUGUCAAAAUAUAUCUCAACAAUAAAAAAUAUCAACCAGAUAAGACAUAAUAUUAAACAUGUAAGACUAUAUUUUAUGUUCUUUGUUGAGAUUUAACUCUUAACAUUUUGUUUGAUUACAAUGAUAUAUAAAUGAAAAAUGUCAUUUGUUUAUGGAAAUAAAUGAAUGAAAAAAAAAAUUUCACAGCAAAAAAAAAAAAAUCAAAUUAAAUAAUACAAAAUCAAGUGAAAAAUGGGCUUUCAUCUUUAAAUCAAAUGAUAUUGAUACUUGAUUGAUAACUUUCAUGCAGAGUAAACUUUGUUGGGAGGGGUUUUUCAAAGGGAGGUUAAUUUUUGUCGAUAAAUGAUGCUCUUGCUCUCACACCAAAAAAAAAAAAAGAAAAGAAAA